CAGUCUUUCUUCAAACAAAAAAAUUAAAUUCAUCCUUAGCACAAGACUUACUCAAACAUGAUUCUAAAGCAUAAUUUCUUCCAGCUCUCUUCUUUCAACAACCAUUAAUCGAUUUGCAAUUCAAAAUUUCAGGUGAUUUUUUAUCAAAGAUGAUCCAGAAGAUCCAAGCAUGAAAGAUGUAUCUGUUUUUGUCUAAUUCUAUACAGUAUGUAAAUGUAUAUAAUUAGUAUUCCCACAUAUGAAAAUGUUAAACUAAGUAAGUAUCUCACUUCGACAUUCAGUAGUAUGACAUUCACAUGAAAAUAUAUUAUGAACAAAUUUGGCAGCUAUAAUGUGUUCGAAUUACUAAUUUUUCUCAUUGAAAUAUUAAUUUUGUUUGUUUAAUAUGCAACUAAUUAAAUUUAGGUCCAUUAUAAAUACCUAUAAUGCUCCCAACUACAGCAUCAUCAGCUGAAAGCAUGUCUGCAAGCCUAGAGCAAUAUUAUGCAUACAAAUUUAGCAACUCCUAAAUGUUAAUUGCUAAUUUGUUAACUUUCAGCUACUCUUGAUGUUCACUUUCUUCAUACUGUCAAUUUGCUUAGUAAACAGUGCAUUUGUUUUGUGAACAAAAUGUUAUUUAACCAUGUAAUGUUGUGAAGUAUGCUAAUAGUUCAAUACAAAAUAGUCAUCUAAUAUUGUGAAGUAUGCUAAUAGUCCAAUACAAAGCAGCCAAGCAGAGCUGAUACCUGCACUUUGAUAUAUAUUGUUCUUAAUUCAAAGACAAAAUUAUCAUUUUUAUAUCCUAUUGUUUCAAAUCAAAAUGUACAAGGAAAGUGACCACAAUGUUUUAUGGCUAACAUGUAUUCGUAUGUAUGAAAGUAAUUCCCA
rnacentral:lncRNA from 1 species